AUUUCACAGCAACUUUCAGUCAUCGCCCUACAGAUGGUAGUGUGCCCUUUCGGCUCUUCAGCGCAGCACGCACACUGAAAGUCUGACUGUGAAAAGGCAGCCACUGCCAACUAUGAAGAAAGCCCUUAUCAGAAAGUGACCAUGCCAGCACCCUGAUCUUGGACUUCCAGCCUCCAGAACUGUGAGAAAUAAAUUUACGUUGCAGAUAAACCA